CCUACGGGAGGCAGCAGUAAGGAAUAUUGGUCAAUGGACGCAAGUCUGAACCAGCCAUGCCGCGUGAAGGAUUAAGGCCCUCUGGGUUGUAAACUUCUUUUAUAGGGGACGAAAAAAGGGCAUUCUUGCUCACUUGACGGUACCCUAGGAAUAAGCACCGGCUAACUCCGUGCCAGCAGCCGCGGUAAUACGGAGGGUGCAAGCGUUAUCCGGAUUUACUGGGUUUAAAGGGUGCGUAGGUGGGUUGGUAAGUCAGUGGUGAAAUCUUCGAGCUUAACUCGGAAACUGCCAUUGAUACUAUCAAUCUUGAAUCAUCUAGAGGUAAGCGGAAUAUGUCAUGUAGCGGUGAAAUGCUUAGAUAUGACAUAGAACACCAAUUGCGAAGGCAGCUUACUAUGGAUGUAUUGACACUGAGGCACGAAAGCGUGGGGAUCAAACAGGAUUAGAUACCCUGGUAGUCCACGCCCUAAACGAUGGAUACUCGACAUUUGUGAUAUACUAUAAGGUGUNUGAGAGAAGACGAUAAGUAUACCACCGUACGGAAGGUAACGUACCGACGUUAGGUUAGUAACGUUACGAAAUAGAAGUUAGACGGCGUUGAGACGUUGCGACGGACGACGACGAGGGAGGAGGAG
rnacentral:rRNA from 1 species